CUUGGUGUUAACCAACUUGCUGAAGUUGUAAAGGUCACAAUGGGACCCAAGCUGUAAAAGAAUGGUUAGUUGUACAAGACAAGAGUAGUGAAGCUAGCGGAAGCAGAUAUAGGAUCCCCCAAGUUGCCAGCACUAGCUCAACACAUCCACCAACUCGCGUGGAGGGCACAACUGCUGUAAUUUGGAUGGCUACUGCCAUAGCAGCAUCAAAAGUAAGAAAGCGACAAUUGGUUUCUCGGUCGUCGUGUUUGAUCUCAGACGAUGGAGGUGCAAACUAUCAUUUACAAGGAACGAAAAACGAUGACUUCGCUUUAUUUAUUUUAGUUUAUUUUACAUUUUAUUUUAGUUUAUUUUUUGGUGAUUUACUGACAAUGUUAUUGUAAUUUAUUUGUUGGACAUACUUUGAAAAUUGGCAUAAAAAUGGGCG